GGACUCGCACAAGCGGUGGAGCAUGCGGAUUAAUUCGAUGCAACGCGAAGAACCUUACCAGGUCUUGACAUCCCACUGACCGGUCUAGAGAUAGAUCUUCCCUUCGGGGCAGUGGAGACAGGUGGUGCAUGGUUGUCGUCAGCUCGUGUCGUGAGAUGUUGGGUUAAGUCCCACAACGAGCGCAACCCUUAUCAUUAGUUGCUACCAUUAAGUUGAGAACUCUAAUGAGACCGCCGGUGACAAACCGGAUGAAGGUGGGGAUGACGUCAAAUCAUCAUGCCCCUUAUGACCUGGGCUUCACGCGUGCUACAAUGGCUAGUACAAAGAGUUGCGAGACCGCGAGGUUAAGCUAAUCUCAUAAAACUAGUCUCAGUUCGGAUUGUAGUCUGCAACUCGACUACAUGAAGUUGGAAUCGCUAGUAAUCGCAAAUCAGAAUGUUGCGGUGAAUACGUUCUCGAGUCUU
rnacentral:rRNA from 1 species